UGGGGCCACACCACCCUGGAUGUGCCUGAUGACUCAGAAGCCAGCCAGGAUCGGGCCUGAUUAGUACUUGGAUGGGAAAAGGCAUAGGUCAUGCCCCGA
rnacentral:rRNA from 1 species